rnacentral:pre_miRNA from 1 species
CAACUACUCCCUCUGUCCCAAAUUUCUUGUCUUAGAUUUGUCUAGAUACAGAUGUAUCUAAUACUAAAAUGUGACUUGAUACAUCCCUAUCUAGACAAAUCUAAGACAAGAAUUUUGGGAUGGAGGGAGUACUUU